CAUUUCAUCUCGGAGCAGGAAACAGCA
rnacentral:piRNA from 1 species